UCCCAAAUAAAAUACACAAUCCUUAUUUCCCUCUAUUUGUCUGCCAAACCGAAAGAUACACACAAAUUCUCACUAUCUCACACUAUUCAGCCACCGCCUUUCAUCACCAGUACCGCCGCCCGCCACCAUAUACCCACCUCACAUAUUCUUCAUCUCUUUCUGAUUUAGUGCAUUUAUUUAUUUCAAAUGUCGAUCCAAUGAAAGUGAUUAAACUUUCACCACUCGAUUCUUUCGUUUUGAAUCCACACAAUGGAUACGGAGAAAUUUGAGAAAGGAGACGAGGUGAGUAUUGUUCUGUCAAAUAAGCUAGCAACAGCAAAAAUUGAUACAGCACGGGUGGUAAUAAUCAUACCUGUUAUUGUGUAGUUAGAGCUGUCAUAGUAAUUGCUUCACUUUGUAUUUUAAGCAGAAGCCAACUUUUCGGCCUCUGCGUAAGAAAGUAUUCAUAGUAUGUUCCAAGAUUCUAGAUGGGUUUGAGUCAAAAUAAUUUAAUUUGCUUUUUUUUAUCCAUAACUUUUUGUGUAGUGAUAAUUUUACUUUUGUAUGGAUAUAUCUUUAACAAUGUUGGUAACCAACGACAAUAUGUAUUACUUUUCCCAAAACCAAACAUAUACCAAAAGGCUUCCUGUUUAACCUGUGUUUAACAAGUGUGAUUAUGUAUUUUAUGAGAA